UGGUUAGCUCCGUCGAUGGGAGAUUGCAGCACUGGAGGCGGCCAUCAAGUUCAAGACCAGUAUCUGACCGACAACGAGUUGCAGCGUUCUUCUCUCGCCCGUCCCACCACUGUUGUCUUUUGUCGACCCUCCUCUUCAAUGCGCAAGUGAUCCACUACCCUUUGUCAGCGCCCAGGUGCCCACUGCCGUCCUUGAGCAGCUACCGCGGCGCACCUCGCCACACAGUAUUGCGCAAUACGCCGCUAGCCCUCAACUUGCACACUCUUAUGGGCGACACCGGGCGAAUUAGAUGGGCGCUAAAGCAGGGGUCGAGUGGAUAGCAGAGUUGGAGUUAGCAGCACAAGAUGACACAUCAAGAAAGUGCAAGCAUGCGCGCCAUGGGGACAACAGCCAGCAGCUGGAUCAUUAGGACACUUCAGUUCGAGAUAUUGAUGAGCAAUCCAAGUGUCAAGAGUCUACGUUAUAUUGAUGAUCAAACAAGUGCCAAGAGUCUUCCUUAUGUAAUUUUUUAGUUUUUUUGGUAGGUAUACUUACUGAAUUCAGAAAAAACAGCAUGUAUUAUUGUUUAAUCUGCAUCCAUUCGUGUCUUAAAAAUUUUAGGCUUUAAAUGUUCGCCCUGGCUCACCUCAAAUCUUACUCCGCCACCGGUCCAACGCCAAUCUUCCUACCACUGCUCCACCAUCGGUAGAGGUGCGGUGGUUGAGGAGCAGCAGCUGAGGCGCAGACACUCGGAUGGGAGGAGCCGAAAGUUUGUCCUCUGUGUCGCGGAUACCGACGUCGAGCGCUCCACCAACAAGUCCGAUGAGAUGGUCCUCGGCGACUUCUCCUGGCUCAGCUUUUACUUCCUUCUCCUGAUUCGUUCCUGGUUUUACGGUUGGCUGUUGAGGAUGCCCAUAGAAGUCUGAGGAGGUGCUUUCUUGCACGAGUGUUCUUGCGGAUGCGAACGCACAUGAGUGUGCUUAUUGUUUCGCCGUUGAGAGAAGGAUAUCAUAUCAAGGGUCAUCGUGAUCUCGCAGAACUUCUGAGCCAGCCUGCAUUCUUUCAGCUCUUGGGCUUUUAAGGAAGCUUUUCUACUCUAGCACCUGGUGUCGUUUUAAACAACAAGGUGCAAUAAUGGCUGUGGUGGCUUGCUUGAUCUCGGCAUGGUUGCUGAAGCCGUACAACUACGUUCUGCCUCCAGAUCUGACAACUCCAAUUUGGUAGCAGGAUAUAACCACAUUCUUGGUGGGGCGGUGAGCUACACAUGGCCAUUCAAUCAUUUUACUUUAUAAUUAUAAUUAUCCAUGCAUUGAUGUUAUUCUGAUUCCACGAUGAGCCGACCAAACAGAUUAAUUUCUAAGCAACAGGUUCUUUGAAGUAAUGGAUGCAUAGACAAUCAUUAUUUGAAGUUCUUAUCCUAAUGUCUUGGAUGAAUGAACUUGUGUUGCUCACGACCUGAAGUCUCUACGUGAAGUACUUACAAUCAUGUAUUUUGGUCCUAAGUAUUUCUCCUAAUCCCUUGGACUGAAUGCACAAUCUUUUUAAUGUUUACAGACGACUUUGCCUGUCUUUUUUUUGACUUAUCAGAAGAUAUUGUUAUUUGUGUUUGGCACAUCCUAGCUUAUAGAAGAAGAGAACAAUGCUGGGUGAAGUGCAAUUAUGCAAGUUACGUUUUGAAUCAUGGAAGCACUAUGAAUGGCUGAAACUUAUUUUUUUUGUAUCAAUGAAC